UACAGGGGGUGCAAACGUUGCUCGGAAUCAUUGGGCGUAAAGCGCACGUAGGCGGUUCGUUAUGUCGGAUGUGAAAGCCCUUGGCUUAACCGAGGAAGUGCAUCCGAAACUGGCGAGCUAGAGUACUAAAGAGGAUCGCGGAAUUCCCGGUGUAGAGGUGAAAUUCGUAGAUAUCGGGAGGAACACCGGUGGCGAAGGCGGCGAUGUGGGUAGAUACUGACGCUGAGGUGCGAAAGCGUGGGGAGCAAACAGG
rnacentral:rRNA from 1 species